GACGAACGCUGGCGGCGUGCUUAACACAUGCAAGUCGAACGGAAAGAACCUGCUUUUGUGGGGUGCUCGAGUGGCGAACGGGUGAGUAACACGUGAGUAACCUGCCCUUGACUUUGGGAUAACUUCAGGAAACUGGGGCUAAUACCGGAUAGGAGCUCCUGCUGCAUGGUGGGGGUUGGAAAGUUUCGGCGGUUGGGGAUGGACUCGCGGCUUAUCAGCUUGUUGGUGGGGUAGUGGCUUACCAAGGCUUUGACGGGUAGCCGGCCUGAGAGGGUGACCGGCCACAUUGGGACUGAGAUACGGCCCAGACUCCUACGGGAGGCAGCAGUGGGGAAUAUUGCACAAUGGGCGGAAGCCUGAUGCAGCAACGCCGCGUGCGGGAUGACGGCCUUCGGGUUGUAAACCGCUUUCGCCUGUGACGAAGCGUGAGUGACGGUAAUGGGUAAAGAAGCACCGGCUAACUACGUG
rnacentral:rRNA from 1 species